AAUUAAUUUUGUUGUUUCCUAUUCUCUAUUAACGUUGUCGUUUUGCAUGUUACAUGUUGUGUAUAUAUAUUUUUCACAAUUCUCACUUUCACACUUUUCACUCACAAACCUACACAAACCCUUUUAUGCUCAAACUCUUCAUCAACUUCCUUCAAAUCAUCAUCAACAUUUAACAACAUCUUCAUCUUCUCCAAAUGGAUUCUCAACAACAACAGGUCUAUAACUACUCUCAACAAAUGGAAGCAAAUGAACAUCUUGCUAAAGCUUAACAACAAACCUCUACUGAAAAUGCUACAACAUCAACCGCUAUUUACAAGAAACCCCACAUCCUUGAUCGUCCACCUCACAUCAACCUUGCAACCCCAUUUGAGAAACUGGAAGUUCUCUGUGAGUCUCUGGUGGAUUUUGAAAAUAUGAAGCGCAAUGGAAUUGAUCUUACUGAAGAUAUGAAUAAGCAAGGCUGGGGAAAUUAUUUUCAAAGGCUCUAUGGUCCCAUCUACACCUUCCUCGUCAAAGUGUUAUGGAGAUUCGCAGACUGUGAUGACCAUUUCAUAGUCUCUUAUGUCCUUGGAUUUAAGAUGGUUAUCACUGAGAAGUCAAUUGCAAAACUUCUAGAUAUGGAGAAAAUGGGGGCAGAAGAAUUUAUAACAUAAACCCUAGGGAAAGAUACAUGUCCCAGGAGAUUGUACCAACCAUCUUCAAACAGAACUCUAAAGGGAAAUCAUCCAAGAACAAGGAACUUCACCAGAAUCUAAGGGUCUGGUUAAAGAUCAUUCUGGGUACCAUCUACCACCGUCUAGCCUCAAACUCUUCUGACUACAUCAAGACAAAUCAAAAGUGUAUAUUAUAUUUCCUCCACAAAGGACUCAAGCUGAAUCUGCCAGUGCUACUAUUCAAGUAUCUGAGGGACUCAGUCAAGGAUACAAGAAGCCACAUGAAGACCAGAAACUACAUUCCUCUGGGGAGUCUCAUCUCUGAUGUUCUGAUUGAAAUCGGGAUGGUGGACCAUCUGAUAUCCUACAACCUGAUGGAAGAUGUGACUGUAGAUGUUGGAAAGCCUCUGAAUGCCAUAAAUCUGAUGAGCAUGAGGGUCAUCGGAAGAGUCUUGGUCAAGCCAACUUUGGAAACUUCCUAGGAAGAUCUGAUGGAUCAAAGAAAGAUACCCAAUGAUCUCUAUCUGUUCUCCAAGAUAGAUCCUCUAGAGGUCAUUGCCCAUUACCUCUAGGACCUGACAUCUCAAGGGGUGGAUAUCUCAGAGUUCUCAGUGGACUGGCUUCUAGAGCAGCCACCUAACUUUAUGAAAAAGAAGAGAGAUCCUUUUAAGAGGUCCAAGAAGUCAAAGACUCUGAAGCUGGGAGAACCGUCUGCAACCAGAUCGCAUGCGCCUCUAAACUCCUCUGUCUCAAGUAAGUCUCACCCCUCUGAAACUCCUUAUUAUUCUAAUUUAAAGCAACUAUAUUUCUCUCUACCUCACCCAUCUUCCAUCUAUACCCUCUUUGAACCUACCAUAUCUAUUCCACCUACCACUAAACAUCACAACUCUAACCCUUCCUCACCCCCUCCACGAUAAAUCAACCUCACUACCACAACACUUCCCACAUCUGAAACUUCACCUCUGAAUGAAUCCCUCCCACCUCUCUCCUCAACUCACUCUUCAUCACCAUAUUGCGACAUAUCCUCUGACUCUGAACAGCCAGAAAUCUUUGACCCUUCAUCCCCAACAUUGGCCCAACUACAAGCCAUAACACUAUAUAACCAACCUCCAUUUAUCCCAGAUACCUAUGUGCCUUCUUCUUCUGAACCUCAAACAAAACCACCUUCUAAACAACCAUCUGAACCCCCAACUGAAUAAUCCUCUGAAGCUCCCACCCAAACCACCCACAUUUCACCAGAACCCAUCAAUCCAUCUUCUGGACCUGAACCAACCUUCCCCACCCUAAAAGAGUCCGUUGAUUGAUUUUCAUAAUCCUCAGCUGUAAAGCUCAGAUCACUGUCUGAAUAGUUCAAACUAAGUGAUAAUCCCUCUAAAGUGAGAAAUCACUGGAAUGGAUUUCUCAUAUGGAUGACAUCUGAGGUCUUCAAGCUGAAAGGCCUCCAUGAACAAGUCAAAAAUGACUACAUUAGAGAAGCUAAGGAGAGGCUAGAGGUUUGUCUGACCAGAGAAGCCGAAGAGAAAUCACACCAGGAAGCUAAAGAAAUCGCAAGACGGAAAGCUGAAGAGUAAGCAACAAAAGAAGCCGAAGAAAAGGCUGUCGCUGAGGCUUCUGUUGCUGAAGCCAAGGCUGACGUUGAAGAAGCAGCACACAUUAUUGCAAAAGAAGCCGCAAAGGCAAAGGAAGUUGCUCUGACUCAGGGUGAGACCUCUAACUCUGAUCUUGCUCCGGAGGUGCUCAAGACUCUGGAAGAAAUCCAGAAGGAACAACAUCUUGUGAGAGCCAUACUAGAUCAACAGGACUCUGUCAACUCCAGUAUUCAGACUCUCCUGACUUAGUUGCUUCAUAGGAUGCCGCCUCCUCCAAACCCUUAGAAACCUUAGGCUUUAUGCUUUGUGUUUUUGUUCCUCUAAGUGUUUUAGCUUCUAUGUUUUUCCUUCUAUGUACCUCUUUCACUUUAUCCAAUGAAAUUUUGUUUUAUAUGUUUCUUGGUUAUGUCUUUUUGACUCUGACAAAAAGGGGGAAAAGUAAUGAAAAAACCUUCUGAUGAAAUUAAUAUCUAAGCCUCAUAAUGCACUCCUUACAUUCUGAAAUUUUAAAUAUAUUGUGCAGUCUAAGUUCUUGUAGGAAGUAUUUGAGUAAAACAUCUGAGAAACAAGCUAAGCAACAUAAGAGGCUCUGGUAAGAAACUCUAAACCUUCUAAAGUAUCAAAUUUAGGGGGAGCUUGCUUAUCUCAGGGGGAGUCUUAGUAUAUCUGACUCUAAAAUUAUUUUCCUUUAAUUAUUAUGAAGUAUAAUUGUUUCAUCAACAGGCUGAAGUUUUGUCAUCAUUAAAAAGGGGGAGAUUGUUAGAACAAGAUUUUGGUUCUGCAAUUUAUCUCUAAGUUUUGAUGAUAACAAAGGAUGAAACACUUUGGUACCCUAAUAAAAUCAUCUAAGUGUGCAAGACUCUAAUGAAAAAUGAACCUGAUGAAACAACAUCUAACAUCACAAUAAUCAAGAACAACAGACUUAGAGUCAAAGGUAUUCGCUCUAACACUAAAGACAAUGAUGUCCACAUCAUUUGACAUCCGAAGACUCUAAAACUCUGCAUCUAAGGGAUCCCACACAUGAAUACUCUGAUGAUCCUUACAUCUGAAGAAUGUCUAAUUAGAGAUUAUUCAAGAACUUUUGAAGAAAACACAUCAGGCAACUAUCUGAAGAAUACAAGAUCUAAGAGAAGUAUCUGAAUUCCGUGCAUUCUGAUUGACGUCCAACAGAUCAGAUCAAGACUUAACAACAAAGUAUUCCAAAUAUGGUAUGAAUCUCUAUAUGGAGAAAAUUGAAUACUCUCCUAAACUUCUAUGGAAAGGACAAUAAAAUUAAUGUCAUUUAAGUCCCAUCAUUGGCAAGAUAUCAGCAUCAAUGCUUCAUUCAACGGUAUCAUCUCCAAGCACUAUAAUAAGGCCCAACUAUCAUCAUACCAAAUAUACGAAGAUAUAACACAAGAAUUCCGCACAUCAAAAUUAAGUCAUACACAAAAUUCUUGUCUUAUGUUAUCACACUAGUUGUUGCUCUAAGUGUGAUCUUGAUCUUUGUUCUUACUGUGUUCAUAUUGCUUAUCUAGAAGCACUAAACACCUUCUUGUAAUUCUAAAAUAGUUGUUAUAAAUUUCCUCAAGUGAUUUGUGAAGUCUGUAGACUUGAGAGGAGUAAGAGAUCAGUGUACUCUUAGAUGUUUGUUGUAAUCUUUCUUGAUUAUUGGAUUAAGUCUUUAUUGAAGGCGAAAUUACCUUGGCCAGGUAGACUGAAGUAACUUUGAAUUUCAAGAGAACCAGGAUAAACUUUUGCGUUGUUUGUUUUGAUUUUUGUGUGUGUGGCGUUUCCAAAAGUUUUUAUUGUCACUGAAAACAAUUCAAACCCCCCUUUUUUGUUUUUCUCUAUCUUCAAACUCCUAAUUAUGAAGGCCCAUUAUAUUGUCAAGAGAGCCUUCGCGGUGCAUUGAUUCUUACAACUAUGGAUGGUGAGGAGUUCACGCGUCAUGUGAAUGCCGAUGCAGUCAAGAAAUUCUUUGCCUAAAAAAGGAAAAGAAUAGCUCUCUAAGUUGAAAACCCAAAAGGGCCGCUUAGGCAAAAAUGAGCAUCUCGGUGGAUUGAAAACAUGAAAGGGCGAACCAGGAAAAAGUUAGAGACAUAAAACAGAAAAUUUAUCCCGGUAUAAUGAGUACCCCACCUUGGGGAAAUCUAGAAAAAAAUUAGGGAUCUUGGCAAGUAACUGCAUCCAGCUGGUCCAAAUCAUUAAAGUAGUCUUGAGUAGUCAUUUGGUUCUGAUUCAUCAUUCUCAACCGAAGACAAGCCCAGUGGAUUUUGAAGUUGGUAGGGAGAGUAGUGAUCAUUGUAUUCAAUGUAGUCCUUUUUCCAUUUAAAUUACCAUUUUUCAAACUUUGUAAAGAUCUAUAGAGUCCCGCCAUUUGCGGACUACCAUUCUAUUAAAUAAAGUUGAGCUUUUAUCUAAUUAUUUGAUAUUCUUAGUUAUUUAUAUUUUAAAAUUGAAUUUUUAUGACGAUAAUUUUGAAAUAAAUCAAUGAAUAAUUAUUUUUCUUAAGAUAAUAAAAACUUUCACUUCAAGAAUAAUCGAUUUCGGUAAGGAAGGUCAACAACAAUCUAAGAACAAGUAAGUCUUGAAGUGUGAAACAUUGUUGUCUUCCCCAAGCAGUUGGUUUGAUGACUUUUUCCUCCCCAACAGUUUGUUGUUCAUUCCCAGCAUGGUUAAUAAGUUGCUCCCCAAGCAACCUAUUAUCCCCGGUUGAGCUGAUGAUUGGUCCCCUUUGAAGUUUAUCUUCACCGACUGAAGUAUCCAUGUGUUGCAUUCCCCAGUUUGUGACUUAAUGAUUGAACCCUAGAUAUCUUGGAACCUUUAUUUGGUCUCCAGACUCCCAAUUGCAUUUGUUUGUAUUGCAUAAUCGCGGUAGUUUCUCCCUUGUGUGAGUCAGAUUCGAUUAUCUUUGCCUUGGAAUUGGUUUAUUUCGCAAUCUCCCAGAAGAAUCUGAUGAUUAUUGAGAGUCUGGUGGUCUUUGAUUUGUCCCAGCAGGUCACGAGAUCGCUAGCAAUUUGCACGAUUCCCCAUUCAGAGUUUUACCUCUUGAAUCCCUGGAGGAGUUUUGUCGUCUGAUAAAAGUUCCUUCAUUCCUGACAGUGUUUGGUUCUGAGCAUUAUUAAUUAAGUCCCCUGCAAGGUUGUCUCCCAUUUGAUAUGGUGUUGACUUAAAAUUCCCCGUAGCGUUGACUCGUUUUAGGAUCCUCAGUAGAUCAAUCUUUAUCCUUCAGCAGUGUUGUCUUUCCCCACGAAUUUUACCGUGAGUUGGUUGGAAACAUGUUCUCCGUGUCUUUCCACAGCCAGAGAUUGAUUUAUUCGGAGCUAGAUGAUUUAUGUUCAUCCCUAGAAGAAUCUCCAGUGGUUGUUUCCAUUCUGUUGAGAUUAGCCGUUUGUUUUGUAGUGAUGAUUCAAAUCUUCGUUAUUUGUAUCCUUUAGGCUGUUUUGUCAGCAUAAUCAUAAUCAUGCAUGUAUAUUCAUGCAUAAAUCACAACAUCAUAUAUUUCAUUAUGCAUUUUAUCGCAUUGAUUUUUUUCUGAUCGCCUGCUUUGGUGAUAUUAUUUCCCCAUACAGAUUUGGUGUGUCUUUCCUCCUUCAAUUAAAGAGUGUCAGCCCCUUAAGUAGAAAGAGUUUAUCCUUUCUCAUUCCCCACUGAGUUAUUUCCUUGUGGAUGAUCAUUAUUUCAGCUUCCUCCUCAGAGUAUCAUCUGGAUUGAACCAUUCCCCUUAAGUUACAUCAUCAUUGGGUUGAGUCUUGUUUGACUGUUUCUUUCUAGCUCUUACCUAGAUAGAUCUUUUGGUCCCCGAGAGUUUAUUACUCAGUAACUGGUAAUAUUCUUCUUGAUGAUUGAGUACUUUACCUUCACCCAUUAACCGGUAAAAGGUAAUUUACCCCUUUGUUUUCCCCAGCGGAUUCAUUUUCACGUUUCCUCGGCAAGUCUAUCCUUGAUAUCUUCACCCUAACCGAUGACGGAUAUUCUUCCUGUUUGGUAUUCUACCCAGUAAAAAGGUAGUUGUAAUCCCUAUAUUAUUCUCUAGAGAGUCUAUCCUUGAUAUGUUCACUUUAACCGAUGAUAGAUUUUCUCUUCUUUGCAGUAUUCAACCCAGUAACUGGUAGAUAUAAAAUCCUAUUUCCCCCUCUGAGUCUAUCCUUGCUAUGUUCACUUUAGUCAGUGACAGAUACUCACUCUUUGGUAUUCUACCCAAUAAUCGGUAGUCGUAAUUCAUAUUUUUCCCCGGAAGUCUAUCCUUGAUAUGUUUACCCUAACCGGUAACGAAUAUUCUUCUUCAUUCCCUAGGUGGUCUAUCCUUGAUAUGUUCAUCCUAACCGAUAACAGAUAUUCUUCCUUUGAGUUUAUCCUUGAUAUUUUCAAUUUAAUAAGUGACACAUACUCUCUCUUUGGUCUUUGGCUCAAUUGCAGGUAGUUGUAAAUUCUAUUUGAUUUCCUUUCCCUAGUAGGUCAUUCUUACCUAGUAACCGGUAAUGAAUGCGCCUUAUUUUCCUCAGUGAGUCAUCCUUGAUAUGUUUACCCUAACCGGUACCGGAUGUUCCUCUGUCAGAGUCUAUUAUCUUCUUACCCAGUAACCGGUGGUAGAUAAUAUGUCUCUUUUACUCCUGUGCUGAAGUUUUUCUUCCCCAAUUGAGUUUGAGUUCAUAUUUCUUUAUGAAAACAAAUUUCCUUUUGGCUUGAGUAUUUCAGUUUUGUUCUGAUUGACUCUCGUCCCCUGUAGAUUCCUUUAUCCCCAGUCCGAGUUUUUCCAUUGAUUUAUUUUCAUGGAAAUCCCCUCGUGUCUCCCAUCAAUUUUUCAAGUCAUAGCCUGGCCUAUGCAUAACUUUUAUCCCCCAGAGUCUCUGUCUCCCUAGUGAGUUUUCCUUACGGAAUGCAUUGUGCUCCUGUGGACUUUUAGUCUCUCUGGAUUCUUUUCCUUUUGGCAAUAUAUUCCUUACAAAGAUUAUUUUAACAUUCAUAUCAUAUGCAUCAUGAGGUCUCUUAGGGACCAAUUUUUUUUCUUGAUGUUGUUAUUUAAAUCCAUUAUACUAAGUUGAUAUGAAGAUUUUAACCUUCACUUCCUCAGCUAGAAUGUCCUUAAAUAGCGGCAGUUGUAAGACCCCAAUUUUGACCAUAAGAUCCCUCAUGCUAUCUCAUCAUUUGCAUUGGCUUUGGGAUCACACCUUGGCAUCCUCGUAACCCCUCAUUAAUUGGGUUUGCAUUGGGAGAGAUCACCAAGCAUAUUUGAUUGUAUGAUACUUUAUUUUAUUUUGUUUACUAACCAAAACACCAAAAAUAUGUCAAUGUAUAGCUUUGUUUCUUUUGUAGGUAGUGUGUGUGCAUCCAUUUAUGCCAUAUCAAGCUUACAAGUAGGGUUUGAGACCCUCAUAGCAAGAGAUAAAUCAGGGAAUGGUUCACCAUUGGUUCUAAACAUCAUAUAUGGAUCUCCGUGUUCUUCAUUUAUCAUUUUGAUCAAGAAUUCAUCAAGAGUUUGAAGUUUCUUUGCCUUGGGAGCCCUAACUCAUUUGGGUAUUUUGUUUGACUUCCUCAGCAAGUUUCUUCAACAAUUGGUCAAAUAUAUAAAGGGAUACUUCAUUAUAUGUAAUAUUAUGCAUAUAUGAUCCUCCAUUAUCUUUAAAGAUCAAGAGAACUUCAAUAUUGCAAGUUGGUUCAAAGAGGUUGACCAGAGAAAGUCAACUAGUCAAAACUAGGGUUCCCUAGACCCUAUCUCCUACAAUUUUUGUCAUAUGAAAAUGAUUACAAGAGAAACUUUACUCUUUAUGAAAUUCAAAACAACUUUCAUGUUGGCAUCAAUAGCUAGUUUUGCUUGGAAAGUCAUUUUUUUAUGGUGAAACAUUAUAGGUCAUUUUGUAUGUGCCCUAGUUAGGAGGUCAACUUCCAAGGACCAUAAAUUGCUCAAUUUUUAUGAUAUGAAGUCCAUACAAGUUUCAUGAUCAAUUUCAAGGUGUCUUAUAAAACUUUUAUUAUUUGAGAAAUGUCAAAUUCAACUUUAAAGGGUAUGUGCCAAGAGGAAACAUUAUAGGUCAUUUUGGGCCAUCACCAUUAAACAAGCAAUUUUCCUCAAAUUCUAAAAUACAUAACUCCCUCAUGAAAAAUCCAAAUGAUGUUAAAUUAUUGACCAGAUUGAAGAGGAAUCAAAGAUCUAUAACUUUUAUGAAGAAGCCAUUUCCAUUUGAAGCUCAUAGCAAAAGUUAUUCAAGGUGGAAGAAGUGAUCAUUUGACUUUGUACUUAGAAAAGUUUCAACUAUGUUUGAUUUCUCCCACUUCCACCUCAAAAUGCAUCAUGAUCCAAGCUCCAAAUGAAAAUGUGUUCAACAUAAAAGUUGUUUCCCUUGAUGUCACCUUUCCAAAAAGUCCAUUAUCACUUCAUUUGGACAAGAAUUGAGGGACUUGCGAAUGGUUCCUUUGGUGGGCAUGUUUUGGCAACAUUUGAACUCAAAUGGUUAUUUCCUUUUGCAUGCUUCCAUGUGAUGACUUCAAUAUCCAUUAUGCACGAAUUGGAGUUGGAUUACAUCAUGAUUUGGGCCUAAUUCAAUGCCCAUACACCCAUGCACCAAUGUUUCUAUUUUUGGCCAAAAUUGAAAAGGUGCAAAACUGAAUUCCAUAGCCUAUAAAUACAACUAAUUGCUUCAAGAUCAACACACACACACUGCCCAAGCCUUGCCAAGCUAUCUUAGAACCCCACUCCAUAGAAUUGCUUGAAGGUUUCUUUGAAAUUGAGUUUGAACUUCACCUUCUGUUUUGAGAUUCAAACUCCAAGGAUUCAUUCCCAUUUUCAUCUCAAUUGGUCACUGCAAGCAAGAGGAGGAAGAAUCAAGUGAAUUCAGAUCAAGAUCAAGCCAAAUCACUGCUACCCGAAGGUGAAUUUUCUCAAACUUUUCUUCUUCGAUUUCCCUUAUCUCUCAACUAUUUUGAUUGAUUAUCGGUUGUCUUAAGACCUACCAAUGUAGGAAACAAGAUUGAGUUGCUUUGAGGCCAAAUCGAAGCAACUCAGAUCGUGCACCUCAAAAUUCAAUUCCUCAUAUCUCUCAAUAUAUUUGGAAUUGGACAAAAUUGAGGCCAGAUUCGAGCUCCUGAGCAUUUUUCCUUUGAAUUAGUGUACUCACUUUUUAUUUUAGUGAAGGUUGGUGGUGGACCAGUCUGGUGAGGUCCACCAGAGAAGGAGGCCGGAGCUAGGGCUCCGGUUGUGCGUUGGCGCCUUCCCAACCUUCUUACCUGAUUCAAAUGUUUGAAUCAUGGCCCUUGGUUUUAACUACCACGCGUGUGGCGCAUUGACUUGGUUCCACCAUGUUCCCUAUGCGCGUGGCCAUCAGAUCUGCCACCUCAAUUAAUUAGGGAGAUCCGAUGGCCCUUGUUUUUUUUUAAUUUCUGAUUUUUCAUUUAAUCCCUUUAUUUUGUUAGUUCAUAUUAAUUUAAUUUUUAAUCCAAAAAAUAUGGGACUUUCACCAAAAAUGUUUAAAUAUUUUUCUUUCAUAUUUUAAAUUAAAAUUAUUUUUUGGAUUAACUUUUAUAUUUUUCAUGAAUUAAAUGUUUUUUUUAAUUUUUUUAAUUGUUUUAAAAUACUAAUGACUUUCCAAAAAUAUUGAAAUUUUUUGUCUAAGGUCAUUUGACCUUGUUUGACCUAGGAUAAAUCCCUUGGCCAUUUGUUUGGUGUUUUGAAGGGAUUUGAGGUUUUGUCCUUUUUAAAAUGCAUUUUAAUUCACUUUUAAUUAUUUUUAAUUGAUUAAAUGUUUAAAAAUUAUGUUGAGCCAUUUUUAUGGUCUUGUGAUGUUUGACUUUCUGUUUGGAUCUUGGUCAUGGUUGAUUUAACUUUUGUUUGAUCAAUACCAUUGGAUUUAGGGGAUUGUUGAAAUGUACAUUUCAUCUCCCAAAAUGAAUGGAUAGUAUUGAUCAGAUGAAAUUCCUAUCAUGAUCAAUUUGUGUUUCUAUUUCCCCUUCCCUCUUCAUCUUCAUCCCUAUUCUUUCCCAAUCCCUCAUUGACCAAUGAAAUCUCUUCAUGUUUAAUGCUAGUUGAUUCAUCAACGACCUUGUGUCAAAUGAAUCAACAUGAGCCAGAAUGAGAUAGGUCCUCCCCCCAUUUCUUUUAAGUGUUUAGUAUGUUUUAGGAGUCUGGUUCCUUAUACCAAAUCUCUAACAUGCAUUAACACCUAUAUUUUUAUUGCCCGACCAUAAUGUAGCGGUAAAUUCAUGACCACUAAGUUAUGGAUAAGCUUAACAUCAAUAAAACCAGAGUCGCCACUGUGCUUUUAUUGUUUCCAAAGGAAAAAGGAAAGGUAGGAACAAUACCCAAAGAUAAGAAGUUUUCAAAUCAAAACUAAUAAAAUGCCAGAGACUACAGGUAAGGGGGUUGGUUACACAGAGGGAAGGUGUUAGCCCCCAAAGUGUCCUAGGUACUCCUAGGGAGCCUUUUUUUAUGUGUGCAUGUGUUUUUGGUAUAAAUGAUGUUUGAAAAAAAAAUAGAGUGUGGGGAUGAGAAAAGAAUUCAUUGAUUAUAUUUUUGUGUUUGACAAGACCUUCGGACUUGUGCCUACGUACCAACAUAAAAAUGAGGGAUCAAAACCUCGUAGUUCGUGGUAACAAAUGAGAAAAGAAUUCAUUGAUUAUAUUUUUGUGUUUGACAAGACCUUCGGACUUGUGCCUACGUACCAACAUAAAAAUGAGGGAUCAAAACCUCGUAGUUCGUGGUAACAAUUUCAAAGUUGGUGAACUGCUUUUAACAAAAUUUUAAAUGAAAAGGCACCAAGGGGCCAAAAAAAUUGAAUGGGUUUGUUAGUUCUUUUUAUCUUUUUUUGAAAUUUUAAGUAAAUAUGAUUAAGUUUAUUUACAAUUUUGACUUAAGAAAGAGUUUGAAAAUUCAAUGGCAUAAGGCCAAAGUUUCUAAUCAUUUAAACAAAGUCUAAGUUUGAAAUCACAAGCAAAGAAAGUUUUUGACAAGGGGGAGAGAUUUUGAAAUUUAAGAAGUGGGAGGAGAUGAAGAGGCUAUCCUAAGCGUAAAAUUAAAAGUUAAUAGUUGAAAAGAUUUGACCAAUGGGAUGCAAUCUAACAGACAAGAAUGUCAUAUAGAAACUCGUUUUCCCUUGGACUUUGAAUCAAGCAAUAAUCAAUAAGCAAUUAGCAAUAUCAGACAUCAUGAAGAUCAAGACAUCAAAUAAAGAUAGCCAUAUCUAAGCAAGCAACUCCUUAGCUAGCAGUCUUCUUUAUCUUCUCAUGUAUCAGAUGGGAUAUUCCUUGAUCAACUUAGAAGAAAGCAUCAGACAUAAGAUCAAAAUAACAAUUAGCACCAAGACAAAGCAACAUAUGAAUUCAAACAGAGUCCCAAGGCUUGCAUCAGAUGAAAGCUUAGUUCACAAUAACUUGAUUUCAAAAUGUUGGCAUUGGCCAAGUCCUUUUUGCACAGGGAAUGUUGCCUAAUCCUAAGUCCAAAGGUUCAGAUUAAGAUCAACAGUCCACCAAACAUUUUUUUAGGGUUUUUUGUUGUUUAUUAUGUAUUUUAAGGUCCUAAGACCAUAAACAAAAUCAAAAUGCACAAACAAAUAUAUACAAUCACAAGAUAUGGCUCAAAUGAGCAAAGUGAAAAUGACAUAAACAUAAACAAGUUAAAUGAAAUGUAAAUGACAAUGAAUGAUAAAUGACUGAAAAUUAAAUUGCAUAAAGUAAAUGACUUGAAAGUAAAGCGAUAUUAAUAAGAAUUAGUCAUAUGUUAGUCAACUGUUAGUGGUAUUUUUGUUUUUUAAUGGAUUAAGUCAUUAUUUGGAGAACACUCAACCAUCCAUUCACAAGCACGGGUCCUUAAACCAAGACAUCUUCGAUGGUGUCGUACCCCAAUUUUGUCCGAGCAUAUUUAAAUUUUUUCAUACAAUCGAUCUCAUUUUUUUUCAUCACAUACAUACCAUUACAUACAUUUGCAUCAUGAAUAAAUGCCUAAAAUGUCAGUCGAAAUGAAUUUAUUGGAGAAUACAGACAAAAUCAGUUGAAUCGUUAAAAUUUGAGGAAAACAGUGUAUUUUUCAAAUAAUAUGUUUUGUGCUGAUACCUCAUUACAAGAAUCUCCCCUACCUUGCUAAAGGAUGGGUCAUUGUGUGCUGAAGGAGAUAACACCUGCAUACUCUAACAAUAUGCCUCACAGGCUACGACGCCAAUGCUCCUGUGAGUAUCACAUGGGUGCCCCAAGGCAUACAAUAAAGAAUUGUAAGGCUUUCAAAGCACAAGGUUCAAAGAUUUGAUUGACAGUAUAGAUUAUUCACGCCGCGUCGACGGCCAAAACGUUGCAACAAACCACCAUGCCGGCGCAUGCACGAGUCGAAGUGAACCUCGAAAGAUAAAAGCUCCCACGGCCUGAACAAACAAAGCAAAGUUCCGCCGAAGAAUCCAAAGAUGAAGGCAUGUUCAUUUGAAUGAAGGCAUCAUUAUGCCCUUCUUUAACCAAUUUCACAUUCUUUGUAAUUUUGAUCUUGUUUGUUUAAGUAAUUUGUUAUGCUUUGAACAAUUGUUGUUUUAAUUUGGUCUUAUUAAUGGGAUAAUUAUAAUGCAUGCCGUUUGAAUCAAUCUUUCCAUAUUCAGCUCAAUUAUACAUUUGCUAUGCACAAAACACAUACUUUUUCACCUCACAUUCUUCAAUCACACAUGUUAGUAAAUGUUUGGAAGGAGGAUGACAAAACAAAAAUCUCAUAAUUAACUGAUCGUAUCUUUCGGAUAAAAUCCUACUAAUGAUGUAUAGACAUUGUUUCAAAUCCCCAAACACUGGAGAGAUAGAGGAGUUAAUCCCUAGUCAACACUCGAGCCUAGAAGUAGGAGUAUUUCUUUCGGAUCUAAAAAAAACCCUUACGUUAACCUGGGCAGGGUAGUGUUCAGUUAAUUUGACUACACAUUUAAAAUUUACAAGAAUAAAUAUCCAUACAAAGGAUCAACCAUAUGACAUUGCUUCCACACACAUCUUGAGUGUCGAGGAACCAUCUACAAAUCAAAUUUAUGUCGGUUGUUUCUGUAAUAUGACCAAUGACUGUGGCAGUCUCAAAUUUCAAAAAAAAGGUCAGAGAUAGAGCCCGCUAAGUCCAACAGCCGCGCCUUAAAAGGGGACCUUAGGAAAAAACAGGGGCAAUCCCGAUGGAUUAAAAGCUGGCAGACAAAGCGUCCCAUGCAAAAAGUUAGUGGAUCAAAACAAACCAAAAAUCAAGAGACUAAUGAAAGUCUCCCAACAAAAAAAACAAGAUCAGUGACCACGCAUAACCGAAAAUCCAAGACAGGGUCACCGGACAUCAAAAAAACGAAAUAAGUGCUCGCCAUCCAAGAAACCUUGAAUCACAUCUAUUAUCCUUACACCUGCCAAAGAACGAAUGAGUGGUUGAAUUAACUGAACAUGGCAUUGGAGAUCAUCAUGAAAGAAAAGGGUGGGUUAAAAUACUUGAGCCUUAUAUCCUUUUUGUUUCAAUAACCAUGACCAGCCACUUACCAACCUUCAAAAGACCUAAUUGAAGUAGGGUUCUGUUCUGAAAGCAUACUUAUAAGCACAGGUUGAAGUAAACUGACUCCUAAGAGAUUUGCUAAUAUUCCUCUUCUCACUAAUAUCACUCACACACUAGCUAAAUCCAAGCACGCUCGUUUGGACACAUGGUCCACCGUCACACAUUCACCACACACACUCCAAAUGAGCACGUGCGUAAUUGUUUUUUUACUAUAGCUUGCAUAACUAUUGCCAUUAAAAAUCAACCAUUUCUGGAAUAACAAUUCUUAAUUGUCAGUCCAGUACUUUGAAUCAAGAAAAUUCCAAGAAGGGCCAUUCAAGAGGCCACUUGAUCGUUGGUGCUGAACACAAUCAGAGCACCGCUGUGAAAUCAGGGGCAUGUCAUCUUUUGAUCAUGUUGACACUAAGAAGUAGCCAGUAUAAGACAAAUCUCCAAGCAUCGUUGAUCAGGGAGGAAAGACACUUAAAAUACCUCCAGGCAGUCCGGGGCAGGUUCCCUCAAAGGCUAAUCAGGGCAGGAACCCCCAAGCCCAGAUUUGUUUUUGAACCAAUCAGAAAAAACCCAAAAACUCAGACGCACGUCAUGGAUAAUCACUGCCCUAAAAGUUUCCUGUCAAGGGGAAAAAAGGGCAAAUUCCUUAUUGAACACGCCUACAGUCAGGGCAAGACGAUUUGCAAGGGGCAGAUUUCCUUCAUAUCUUCAAGUCAGUCCAAGCAGAUUGCAUCAGACACUAGUGACUGCUUGAAUUUCACAAGUAGUCGAAAGUUCAUAUCGCAUAACAAUAUCAUAAUCCUUCAUGACAGAAUACCAUUAGGGCACUGUCGGCUGGCACGAUCAUCAUGCGUUGAUCACGUCGCUAUGCUCAGUUACAGGCUGGCCAGACAAUCUCAAAGGAAGAGAUCGAUGUCUCUCGAAGACAAAUCACACAUGUAUCAGCAAGAGUCAAACUGGAUGGGGCCACCCAGAGUAUCCGCAUCUACUGCGUGUUCAUCAUAUCAUCAAACUACGAGGUGUCGGGAAGAUCAGAAUCUUCCACUAACCGCGAUGGUCCAAAUCUACAUUGACAAUUACCAGAAAGACCAAAGCCCCACCUCGCUGGCAUCCACAAUAAAACGCAAAUAGAACCAGCAUUGGUUUCACAAAUACAUUGCCUUUUGAAAAGGGGGCCAAUCCAAAACAAACCAAUACAUCUUUGCAUUGCAAACCAUGCAUCAACCAUGCACAUAUGCGAUCACUCAUUACAUAAUGCAUACAUGAAUAUUUAUCCAAUGACAAAAUAUCAAAAAUCCAAGUUUUAGGUCGUUAGGAUCCAAGGCCAGCCCCUCAGUUGAGUCAUUGUUUUCUGAGUGAGUUUCCUAACCCUGCCUAUCGGGCGCGUUCCCAGUGGACGUUUACAUCUUUAACUUUUGUUGAAUAAAGAUGUUAUCUCUCAGCUAAGUCAAACAAUGUUUUCCAACACUUUACCGUGUUUCGCGUUGAGCGUCCCUCAUUGAGUCCCGUUUUCAUGUACCUUUUGUUGAUGGGGAAACUAGCACCUCCCUAGAGGAGUAUUAUUGUUCUGCAACCUUUAUGUUGGUGGACUACCCGAAGCAAAGUCCUUACGUCAGUAUGUUUCCAACACUACUCAGCAAAUCAGGUUAGUAUGAACUUUGACCAGUAGCCUAUUUUUCCAAUAUUCUUUUCUCCAACUAUCCAUCCUUUUGGUGAAAGUCCGUUGAAGAAUAAAUUGAUCAUCGUCUGUUUAUGAUCACACCGUUAUCCUUUUGGUAAUGGUACAUCCUUGCAUUUGUGAACUUACUGCUCAUCCUUUUGGUGUCGACGAUCCCUUGAAAGUUUUGGGCCCUACCUUCAAUCUUUGGUGAGAUGGCGACCUCUGCAAUAUUACAGUCUACCGUCAUCCCUUUUGGUGUCGGCGAUCCUUAUGGGAUAGGCCGCUUGGUCAUUUUGGUUCAAUCAUCAUCCUUUUGGGAUGACGUCCAGUUUAAUCCAAUAUCAAUCUUUUGUGGAUAGAGAAUGAUGGAGUUCAGUUUAAGCUAUCAAUCCUUUUGGUGAUGGUGACCAUUUGGAAAAGUGCCAACCCGCACUGUCAUCCUUUUGGUGUCAGUAAUAUUUGAAGUUCAUUAUAACUUAUUAUCACCUUUUGGUGGUAACCAAGUUUCAAAGUUUAUGAUCUCACCUCAUCCUUUUUGGUGAUGGUGAGGUUGUGGAUUCCAUUAUCAUACCUUUUGUGAUAACGGUUCUGUGUUGUGUAGUACCGUUCAUCCAUUUUGUGAGGUGACUAUUGAUCUUAUUAUCAUCCUUGUUGGUGAUGAAACAAGUUGUUGUUGGAUGGUCCUUACCUCAUCCUUUUCGGUUGACGGUGACCAUUUGAGUUAUGGGGCUCAUUAUCAUCCUUUUGGUGAUAACAGUUUGUUUUUGAUCUACCCUCAAUCCUUUGGUGAUGGCGAUCACUGAGUCUGUUUCAGGUUAUCAUCAUCCUUUUUGUGAAACAAGUAUUGAAGAUCCUGUCUUUAUCAUCCUUUUGGUGAUAAACAAGUUCGGCUUUGGUUUGAUCUUACUGUCACACUUUUGGUGUCAGUGAUAUUUACGGUUGUUGACUUAUUAUCAUUAUCCUUAUUUGGUGAUAACAAGUUUGGUAGUCUUGAUACCUACCUCAUCCCUUUUGGUGUGGUGAUCAAUUGCGUUAUGUGCUUAUUAUCAUCCUUUCGUGGUAACAAGUUUCGGUCUUUUAAUUAUACCUUCAUCCUUUUGGUGAUGGUUUAUUGUUGAUUAUUAUCAUUCCUUUGGUGGUACGAAGUUUGUGUCUUGGAUCCACCUUCAUCCUUUGGUGAUGGUGAUCAAUUGUCGUGUGUGCUAUUAUCAUCCUUUAGGUGGUAAACAGUUUUGUCUCGUUUGACAAUUACCUUCAUCCUUUUGGUGAUGGUCGAUUGUUGACUUAUUAUCAUCCUUUUUGGUGGUAACAGUUUUGUGUCUUGAUUCUUACCUCAACCUUUUGGUGACUGUGAUCAAAUUGCGGUUGUAAAUGCUUAUUAUCAUGCCUUUGGUGGUCAACAAAGUUUUGUACGUUUGACAAUACUUCAAUCCUUUUGGUGAUGGUGACUGUUUGACUUAUUAUCAUCCUUUUGGUGAUAACAAAGUUUUGUGUCUGAUCCUACCUUCAAUCCUUUUGGUGAAUGGUGAUCACAUUGCGUGUGUGCUUAUUAUCAUAUCCUUUGGGAACAAGUUUUUGUCCGUUUGGCAAUACCUACAAUACCUGUUGGUGAUGGUGAUGUCGACGUUAAUUAUCCAUCCUUUGGUGAUAACAGCUGUGGUGUCUUGGGACCUACCUUCAUCCUUUUGUUGAUGGGUGAUUCAAUUGCGUGUGUAACUUAAUAUCAAUCCUUUUUGGUGAUAACGAGUUUUGUCGUUUGACAAUACCUUAUAUUCCUUUUGAUGAGGUGAUGUUGACGUUAUUAUCAUCCACUUUUUGGUGGUAACAAAGUUUUUGUGUCUUGAUCCUACUCGAUCCUUUUGGUUGAUGGUGGGCAUUGCGUGCUGUAUUAAUCAUCCUUUGGUGGGUAACAUGUUUAUCUUUUAAUUAUGCCUUCACCUUUUGGUGAUGGUGAUUAUCACUCCUUUUGGUGAUACAAGGUUUUGUUUUGCUCAAUUACUAUCAUCCUUUGGUGCUGGUGAUCAUUGAGUUUCGACUUAUUAUCAUCGCUUUUGAGUGAUAACAAGUUUGUCUUGAUAUUACCUUCAUCCUGUUGGUGAUGGUGAUCAAUUGCGUGUGACUUAUAUCGUCCUUGGUGGCGAUAACAAGUUUGUGUCUUUAUAAUUAUACCCUUCAUCCUUUUGGUGAUGGUGAUUGGUUGACUAUUAUCAAUCCUUUUGGUGAUGAACAAGUUGUUGUGUGAUUAUACCUUCAUGCCUUUUGGUGAUGGUGAUCAUUGAAGUUAUUUGACUUCUUAAUAUCCUUUUGGUGGGAUAACAAGUUUUUGUAUUGAUCUUACUUCAAUCCUUUUGGUGACGGUGAUCUUUGAAGUUUGAUGAGUUCAACUAUCAUCCUUUUGGUGAUAGCCCUUGAUACUAUAUCUCGGUAAUAGGAAAACUUUAUCAGAAUAACCACAAAUCCUUUUAGUGACGGCACAUCAUCCUUUUGGUGAAUGAAAACCUUUAAGAUUUGGAUUUGUGUUUAACUUUCAUCCUUUUGGGAUAGCAAAAGAUUUGUUGUUGAAUCUUACCAUCAUCACUUUUGGUGAUGGUGGAUCGUUUGUGUAUCCACUGUAACCAUAAUCUUUUGGUGAUAACUACUCGUUGAAGCUCGGUUUAUCCAUCAUCCUUUUGGUGAUGACAGUCCUGGACAAUCAUGGUGAAUUCUAUCAUCUUUGGUGAUGGACCAUUAACUUGGAUGUCAUCUUUUGGUGUCAGAAAACAAUGUACAGUUUUGUCUUUACAUUAAAAAAAAAAAAAAAACUGUGACAAGAUUUGAAUGUUGACUCGAGGGUUGCACUGAUAUCUGACAUUCUACCCCUACUACCUUGGUGCUGUUAGAAUCCAGUGCAUUUUCUUUCUGCAUCCAUUCCAUUGGCAUUUCAUAAUGAUCAAUAAUUCGGCAUGCCUUUCGUAUUUAAUUAACCUUCCACCACGAAAUGUAUGAUGACCGUUGUCAUUACUAACCUUCUAGUUCAAGAUCAAUUUAAUAGGGCAGACCCCCCCUCCUGAGGUCUUCAUCCAUAUCUAUCAUCAAUUCUAACUUCUCGAAGCAAGCAGAUAAACAGUCAACUAAACAGUCAAAAUAGCAAAAUCAGACUAAGAGGUUCCCGUUGAGUACAACGGACGUAAGGGGUGCUAAUACCUUCCCCUUGCGUAAUCGACUCCCGAACCCGAAUAUGGUUGGGAUGACCAUUAUUCUUAUCUUUAAAGGUUUUCUCGAUAUUUUCAUAUUCCUUCAUUGGAAUAAAUAAAGUUCGGUGGCGACUCUGUUUCGAACAUUUUUUCCGCGUCCUAUCGCGAGGGAUUGCAUUAUCAUCAUUUUUUGAGGUGUGACAGACUGGCGACUCUGCUGGGGACCCUGCUCCAAGCAAGAGAGAGUCUAGCCUAACUUAGUCUGAUUUUGCUAUGACUGUUGGAAGAUAUUUUUUUUCCAUGUUUAUUUCUCUGUAUUUUAUUUUGAUUUCUUGUGUUGUAUGUAAUUUGUCUCGAUACUUUGAUAUGGGACUUGGUGUAUGCUGUGAGAUAAGCUCCAUACCCGAGCUUCGAGAAAAACUUAGAACCCGGAGUUGUGUAGUAUUGAACCGGGGGGUGUACACCUCAUUGGGACAAUACGAAGACUCUUUGGAGUUUCCCCAUCAACAAUAAUGGCUAACCAUCAUUGUGGGGGAGGUUUAACACGAUCUGUGACUUCUAGAGACCUCGCCUUAAACCCCAAGUUUUUGUUCAUGAUUGGUGAUUAUGUCCGAAGGGUCUACACCCUGUUCGAACAAUACGAGAAUCCCACUUAGAUUAGAUCAGUUCAGAACUCCCAUCACGAUGUGGCUAGCCCACCAUUGCGAGGAAGUUUUGAACUUGAUCCGUGAGUCUAAGUUCCUUCCUUGAAAAUAUAACUUUAGAACCUACCUUUGGGAAUUUCUAGUGAUCAAAGAAACCUUUGCUUCUUCCAGUUGUACUGAUGUACUCGACAUGUGGAUAAUUUUGAGUCUGUAUUCCUCUGUGAAAAUCAUGGCAAAACUUCAUGCAUUUGCAUAUCAUCAACAUGCAUUGCAUAUCAUCUCCCAGAAACAAAAACUCACACCAUAUUCUACCCUUUGUCCAGUAACGCUGACCACUCGACACCGGUACGAGACACGCCGCAACUACAAGAUGACACUUGAACAGUUGGAAGAAAACCAGGUUUCGAUGAGAACCGACAUUGACUCCAUGCAGGCAAAGAUGGAUCGCUUAAUGGAAACCAUGUUACUCUUAGCCCAAAAGGAAAAGGAUGCAGAGACUAGCGCUGAAGUCAGGAAAGUUGCUGCCCAGUUUGGAUCGCCAUCACUUAGCAUCCCUGGAGUAACUGACCUCGAUGGUAACCCAACCCAGCUUGGAGGAGGACCGAUCCAUAUUCCUGUUCCCAUGGUCAACAUGAACCCCCACGAGCAUUCUCCUACAUCUGCUUGCCAUGGAUCCAUGAUGGGUGAUGAAGAUCCAUACGACGCCUUCUUCAUGCCACAACCCGCCAAACCUGCUGUUGGGGGUCUCCCAGACCCAACUGUUGAUAGACUCCAUGCUUUGGAGGAAAAGUUUAAGUCCUUGGAGGUUCACACUACUCCCGGUUUGGACGUUGUUGACAUGUGCCUGGUGCCAGGAUUGGUGAUUCCACAGAAGUUCAAAGUCCCGGACUUUGAAAAAUACAAAGGGAUCAGUUGCCCGAGAACUCACCUCAGAGCCUACUGUCGCAAAAUGGCUGCCCACAUCAGUAAUGAUCAACUCCUAACUUAUUACUUCCAAGAUAGUCUCAGUGGGGCAUCCUUGGAGUGGUACAUGCAACUAGAGAGAGGUCAGGUCCAGUCGUGGAGAGACCUUGCUGAAGCAUUCCUAAGGCAUUAUCAGUACAAUACUGAUCUAGCGCCCAACCGCACCCAACUGCAAGACAUGACUCAACGCAACAACGAGUCAUUCAAGGAAUACGCCCAGCGUUGGAGAGAGCUAGCAGCUCGUGUUCAACCUCCUCUCCUUGACAAAGAGUUAAUCGACAUGUUUAUGGGAACCCUGCACACCCAAUACAUGGAAAAGAUGGUAGGAUCCAGUUUCCCAACUUUUGCUGAGGUCGUCUCCGUGGGAGAACGGAUCGAGAGCCAGAUCAAGAAAGGAAAGCUACCUUGUGCUGCUAAUGCUUCAAGUGGGAUAAAGAAGCCUUAUCCCAACCUCCCAAAGAAGCCAGAAGGGCAGACCAAUGCCAUAACGAGAGGAGGAGGAUAUAGGGCACCUCCAUAUGCUCAUACGCCUUAUCAUCAGGUUUCCACGGUCAUCCCAACGCCAUAUCAGCCUCCACACCAGCAACCAUAUCAGAAACCAUAUCAACAACAGUAUCAACAACCUUAUCAACAGCCGGCUUACCAACAACAAUAUCAGAAUCAACAGCAACGUGCUCCACAACGUCAACCUAACCAGCAAAGGGCAAGGAGGCCAGAGAGACAUUUCGAUCCUCUGCCAGUAUCAUAUAGCAAGAUCCUCCCCUACCUGCUAAAGGAUGGGUCAAUUGUGCUGAAGGAGAUAACACCUGCAACUCUACCAUAUCCUCCAGGCUACGACGCCAAUGCUCACUGUGAGUAUCACAUGGGUGCCCCAAGGCAUACAAUAGAGAAUUGUAAGGCUUUCAAGCACAAGGUUCAAGAUUUGAUUGACAGUAAAGCACUUACAUUCACGCCAGUGAGGCCAAACGUUGCAACAAACCCCAUGCCGGCGCAUGCAGAGUCGAGUGAACCUCGAAGAUAAAGCUCCCCACCGGCCUGAACAAACAAAGCAAUUCCGCCGAAGAAUCCAAAGAUGAAGGCAUGUUCAUUUGAAUGAAGGCGAUCAUUAUGCCCUUCUUUACCAUUUCACAUUCUUGUAAUUUGAUCUUGUUUGUUUAAGUAUUGUAUGCUUUGAACAUUGUUGUUUUUAUUUGGUCUUAUUAAUGGGAUAAUUAUGCAUGCUUUGAAUCAAUCUUUCAUAUUCACUCAUAUUAUCACAUUUGCAUAUCACAAACACAUACUUUUUCACCUCACUUUCUUCAUCACACUAUUGUUAGUAAAUGUUGGAAGGAGGAUGACGAAAACAAAAUACUCAUAAUUACUGAUCGUAUGCUUUCGGAUAAAAUCCUACUAAUGAUGUAUAGACAUUGUUUCAAAUCCCCAAACACUGGAGAGAUAAGGAGUUAAUCCCUAGUCAACCACUUCGAGCCUAGAAGUAGGAGUUUCUUUCGGAUCUAAAAAAACCCUUACGCUUAACCUGGGGCAGGGUAGUGUUCAGUUAAUUUGACUACACAUUUAAAUUUACAAGAUGAAAUAUCCCAUACAAGGAUCAACCAUAUGACAUUCUUCACACACAUCUUGAAGUGUCGAAGGAACCAUACAAAUCCAAAUUUUAUGUCGGUUGUUCUGUAAUGACCAAUGACUUGGCAGUCUCAAUUUCAAAAAAGGUCAGAGAAAGAGCCCGCUAAGUCCAACACCUUAAAAGGGGACUUAGGAAAAAACAGGGGCAAUCCCGAUGGAUUAAAGCUGCAGACAAAGCGGUCCAUGCAAAAGUUAGGGAUCAAAACAAAAAUCAAGAGACUAUGAAAGUCUCCAACAAAACAAAACAAGAUUCAGUGACCACCAUACCAAAAUCAAAGGGUCACCGACAUCCAAAAAAACGAAAUAAGGUGGCUGCCAUUCCAAGAAACCUUGAAUCACCAUCUUUAUCCUUACACCUGCAAAAGACGAAUGUGUGUGAAUUAACUGAACAUGGGAUUGGAGAUCAUCAUGAAGAAAGGGUGGGUUAAAAUAAACUUUGAGCCUUAUAUCCUUUUGUUUCAAUAACCAUGAACCAAGCCACGUUACAACCCUCAAAAGACCUAAUUGAAGUAGGGUUUGUUCUGAAAGCAUACUAUAGCAAGGUAUUUUGUUUCAAUAACCAUGAACCAAGCCACGUUACAACCCUCAAAAGACCUAAUUGAAGUAGGGUUUGUUCUGAAAGCAUACUAUAGCAAGGUUGAGUAAACUGACUCCUAGAGAUUUGCUAAUAUUCUCUUCUCACUAUAUCACUCACACACUAGCUAAAUCAAGCACCGCGUUUGGACACAUGGUCCACUCGUCACACAUUACCACAACACUCCAAAUGAAUGAUUGUUUUUCAAAGCUUGCAUAACUAUUGCAUUAAAAUCACCAUUUCUUGGAUAACAAUUCUUAAUUGUCAGUCAGUACUUGACAUCAAGAAAAUUCCAAGAAGGGGCAAUUCAAGAGGCACUUGAUCGUUGGUGCUGACACAAAUCAAGACCAUCCUGUGAAUCAGGGGCAUGUCAUCUUUUGAUCAUGUUGACAUAAGAAGUAGCCAGUAUAAGACAAAUCUCCAAGCAUCGGUUGAUCAGGGAGGAAAGACACUUAAAUACUCAGGCAGUCCGGGGCAGGUUCCUCAAAGGCUAAUCAGGGGCAGACCAUAGCCAGAUUUGGACAUCAGAAAACAAACUCAGACCACGUCAUGGGAUAAUCACUCCUAAAAGUUUCCUGUCAAGGAGAAUUCCUUUGAACACCCUACAGUCAGGGGCAAGACGAUUUGCAAGGGGCAGAUUUCCUUCAUAUCUUCAAGUCAGUCAAGCAGAUUGCAUCAGACCUACAGUCAGGGGCAAGACGAUUUGCAAGGGGCAGAUUUCCUUCAUAUCUUCAAGUCAGUCAAGCAGAUUGCAUCAGACACUAGUGACUGCUUGAAUUCACAAGUGUCGAAAGUUCAUACCAAUACAAUAUCAUACCUUGACAAGAAUCCUUAGGGCACGUCAGGGGCACGAUCAUCAUGCGUUGAUCACGUCGCUAUGCUCAGUUACAGGCUGGCCAGACAUCUCAAAGGAAGAGAUCGAGAUCUUCUCGAAGACAAAUACACAAUGUAUCAGCAAGAGAUCAAACUUGGGGCACCAAGAGUAUCCGCAUCUACUGCGUGUUCAUCAUAUCAUCAACUACCGAGUGUCGGGAAGUCAGAUCCUUCCACCAACCGAUGGUCCAAUCUACAUUGACAAUUACCAGAAAGACCAAAGCCCACCUCGCUGGCAUCCACAUAAAACCAAAUAGAACCAGCAUUGGUUUCACAAAAUACAUUGCUUUUGAAAAGGGAGGCCAAUCCCAAACAAACCAAUCAUCCUUUGCAUUCAAACAUGCAUCACAUGCAUCAUAUGCAUCACCUCAUUACAUAAAUGCAUACAUGAUAUUUAUCCAUAUGACACAAAUCAAAAUCCAAGUUUUAGUCGUAGGCAUCCAGGCCAGCCCUCAGUUGAGUCAUUGUUUUUCUGAGUGAGUUCCUACCCUGCUAUCGGGCGUUCCCCAUGGAGUUACAUCUUUCAACCUUUUGUUGAUAAGAUGUUAUCCUCAGCUAAGUCAAACAAUGUUUCUCCAAACACUUACCGUGUUUCGCGUUGAGCGUCCCUCAUUGAGUCGUUUCAUGUAACCUUUUGUUGAUGGAAACUACACCUCCCUAGAGAGUAUUUGUUCUGCAACCUUUUGUUGGUGGAUACCCCAAGCAAGUCUUACUCAGUAAUGUUCCAACACUACUCAGCAAAUCAGGUUAACUGAACUUUGACAGUAGCCUUAUUUUUCCAAUAUUUUUUCUCACUAUCAUCCUUUUGGUGAAAGUCCGUUGAAGAAUAAUAUUGAUCAUCGUCCUGUUUAUGAUCACCGUUAUCCUUUUGGUAAUGGUAAAUCCUUGGCAUUUGUGAACUUACUGUCAUCCUUUUGGUGUCGACGAUCCUUGAAGUUUUGGGCCUAACCUUCAUCCUUUUGGUGAAUGGCGACCUCUGCAAUUAUUACAGUCUACCGUCAUCCUUUUGGUGUCGGCGAUCCUUAUGGUGAUAAGGCCCUUGUCAUUUUGGUUCAAUCAUCAUCCUUUUGGUGAUGACGUCCAGUUUAAUCCAAUAUCAUCCUUUUGGUGAUAGAGAAUAUGGAGUUCAGUUUAAGCUAUCAUCCUUUUGGUGAUGGUGACAUUUGGAAAGUCCAACCCCACUGUCAUCCUUUUGGUGUCAGUAAUAUUUGAAGUCAUUAUAACUUAUUAUCAUCCUUUUGGUGGUAACAAGUUUCAAAGUUAUGAUCUCACCUUCAUCCUUUUGGUGAUGGUGAUUGUGGAUUCAUUAUCAUCCUUUUGGUGAUAACGAGUUCUGUUGUUUGUAGUACCUUCAUCCUUUUGGUGAUGGUGACUAUUGACUUAUUAUCAUCCUUUUGGUGAUAACAAGUUUUGUUGAUUGGUCUUACCUUCAUCCUUUUGGUGACGGUGACCAUUUGAGUUAUGGGCUCAUUAUCAUCCUUUUGGUGAUAACGAGUUUUGUUUUGAUCUUACCCUCAUCCUUUUGGUGAUGGCGAUCACUGAGUCUGUUUCAGGUUAUCAUCAUCCUUUUUGUGAUAACAAGUUUUGAAGUUCUGUCCUUAUUAUCAUCCUUUUGGUGAUAACAAGUUCGGUUUGUUUGAUCUUACUGUCAUCCUUUUGGUGUCAGUGAUAUUUAAGGUUGUUGACUUAUUAUCAUCCUUUUGGUGAUAACAAGUUUGUGUCUUGAUCCUACCUUCAUCCUUUUGGUGAUGGUGAUCAAUUGCGUUAUGUGCUUAUUAUCAUCCUUUCGGUGGUAACAAGUUUCGUCUUUUAAUUAUACCUUCAUCCUUUUGGUGAUGGUUAUUGUUGACUUAUUAUCAUCCUUUUGGUGGUAACAAGUUUGUGUCUUGAUCCUACCUUCAUCCUUUUGGUGAUGGUGAUCAAUUGCGUGUGUGCUUAUUAUCAUCCUUUAGGUGGUAACAAGUUUUGUCGUUUGACAAUACCUUCAUCCUUUUGGUGAUGGUGAUUGUUGACUUAUUAUCAUCCUUUUGGUGGUAACAAGUUUGUGUCUUGAUCUUACCUUCAUCCUUUUGGUGAUGGUGAUCAAUUGCGUUGUAUGCUUAUUAUCAUCCUUUUGGUGGUAACAAGUUUUGUCGUUUGACAAUACCUUCAUCCUUUUGGUGAUGGUGACUGUUGACUUAUUAUCAUCCUUUUGGUGAUAACAAGUUUGUGUCUUGAUCCUACCUUCAUCCUUUUGGUGAUGGUGAUCAAUUGCGUGUGUGCUUAUUAUCAUCCUUUUGGUGGUAACAAGUUUUGUCGUUUGGCAAUACCUUCAUCCUUUUGGUGAUGGUGAUUGUCGACUUAUUAUCAUCCUUUUGGUGAUAACAAGUUGGUGUCUUGAUCCUACCUUCAUCCUUUUGGUGAUGGUGAUCAAUUGCGUGUGUACUUAUUAUCAUCCUUUUGGUGAUAACGAGUUUUGUCGUUUGACAAUACCUUUAUCCUUUUGGUGAUGGUGAUUGUUGACUUAUUAUCAUCCUUUUGGUGGUAACAAGUUUGUGUCUUGAUCCUACCUUCAUCCUUUUGGUGAUGGUGAGCAAUUGCGUGCGUGCUUAUUAUCAUCCUUUUGGUGGUAACAUGUUUUAUCUUUUAAUUAUGCCUUCAUCCUUUUGGUGAUGGUGAUUAUCAUCCUUUUGGUGAUAACAAGGUUUUGUUUUGAUCUUACUAUCAUCCUUUUGGUGAUGGUGAUCAUUGAGUUUCGACUUAUUAUCAUCCUUUUGGUGAUAACAAGUUUGUCUUGAUAUUACCUUCAUCCUUUUGGUGAUGGUGAUCAAUUGCGUGUGACUUAUUAUCGUCCUUUUGGCGAUAACAAGUUGUGUCUUUUAAUUAUACCUUCAUCCUUUUGGUGAUGGUGAUUGUUGACUUAUUAUCAUCCUUUUGGUGAUAACAAGUUUGUUGUGUGAUUAUACCUUCAUCCUUUUGGUGAUGGUGAUCAUUGAAGUUAUUUGACUUCUUAUCAUCCUUUUGGUGAUAACAAGUUUUGUAUUGAUCUUACCUUCAUCCUUUUGGUGACGGUGAUCUUUGAAGUUGAUGAGUCAACUAUCAUCCUUUUGGUGAUAGCCUUGAUACUAUACUCUCGGUAAUAGGAAACUUUAUCAGAAUAACCAUCAUCCUUUUAGUGACGGACAUCAUCCUUUUGGUGAUGAAAACCUUUAGAUUUGGAUUGUGUUUAACUUUCAUCCUUUUGGUGAUAGCAAGAUUUGUUGUUGAUCUUACCAUCAUCCUUUUGGUGAUGGUGAUCUUUGUUGUAUCCACUGUAACCAUCAUCCUUUUGGUGAUAACUACUGUUGAAGCUCGGUUUAUCCAUCAUCCUUUUGGUGAUGACAGUCCUGACAAUCAUGGUGAAUUCUAUCAUCCUUUUGGUGAUGACCAUUAACUUGGAUUGUCAUCCUUUUGGUGUCAGAAAACAUGUACAGUUUUGUCUUUACAUUAAAAAAAAAAAAAAAAAACUGUGCAAGAUUUGAAUGUUGACUCGAGGGUUGGCACUGAUCUGACAUUCUACCCCUACUACCUUGGUGCUGUUAGAAUCCAUUGCAUUUUCUUUCUGCAUCCAUUCCAUUGCAUUUCAAAUGACAAAAUUCGGAUCCUUUCGUAUUUAAUUACCUUCCACCACGAAUGUAUGAUGACCGUUGUCAUUCCUACCUUCUAGUUCAAGAUAAUUAAAUAGGGGCAGCCGUCGUACCCCAAUUUUGUCCGGGCAUAUUUAAAUUUUUUCAUACAAUCGAUCUCAUUUUAUUUUUUUUCAUCACAUACAUACCAUUACAUACAUUUUCAUCAUGAAUAAAUGCCUAAAAUGUCAGUCGAAAUGAAUUUAUUGGAGAAUACAGACAAAAUCAGUUGAAUCGUUAAAAUUUGAGGAAAACAGUGUAUUUUUCAAAUAAUAUGUUUUGUGCUGAUAAACAUCAUGAAUAAAUGCCUAAAAUGUCAGUCGAAAUGAAUUUAUUGGAGAAUACAGACAAAAUCAGUUGAAUCGUUAAAAUUUGAGGAAAACAGUGUAUUUUUCAAAUAAUAUGUUUUGUGCUGAUAAUUUUGGUGUGAUUGAUUUAAUUUUCCGAAUAAAUUUGUACUCGAUUUUUGUUUUAAUGGGUCAAUAUUUUUGAAGAAAUUAGAAUGAUAUUUAAUUAAAUAUUAGUUAGAUUUUUUAAAAUAUUAGUUAGUUUUUUUAGAUAUUAAUUAGAAUCAAAUAUUAAUUAGAUUUUUCUUUGUUGAUUUUAUUUUUCUUAAAUAAAUAAUAAGUAUAAAAUAAAUAAAUAGUAAAUUAUAGCAUUGGAUUCUUGUGAGGAAAUGCCAGCUUGCAUAUUUUCUUCACCCUUCACACGUGUCCCUCCGCUCACAAUCUCUCAAGACUCUUCUCUCCACUAUUUCUCCCACUCCCUCAUUUUCGUCCCUCACAGACACUCACACUCCACUCCCCAACGUCUCUCUCCACUGCUAACAACCUCACGCUCUCUCUCUCUAAAAGACCCUCACCUUCCACUCAUUUUUACGGACAACCCACAAACCCUUCUUUCACUCUCUCUCACGCAAAAGAGAAAACAGAAAGAGAAGGCGGAAGAGAAGAAGAAAAACCCUUCUUGUUCUCCAACCCCGCCGCAAACCUCCGAACCCUUUCUCCUCUCACUGACCAAAAACCCAUCACAACCUCCGUCUCCACUACCUUCAAAACACAAGCUCAGCCGCCGUCAACCUCCACUGCCGCCGCGGAUUCACCACCGCGAAACCAUCGACCACCCAAAACCCACCGUAAACCUUCAAAAUCCCAAUCGUCAAACCCUUCUUCAUCACAACACAUUCACCGCCGCCACUACCUUAAACCUCCAAAUCCACCAAACCCUAAACCAUCGCUCACCCCCAAUCGCCGCUCACUUUGAAUCUCCGCCGUUUACCACCAACACCACAACCAACAAAUACCCUCCUUCAACACAAACCCUCACACCAUCAUCGAAACCCUCACUCAACAACCGUUUCAACCAUGGCACCACCCAGCUCGGAACGGCAAAACGCGUCCCCAAGGUAGACGUUCCGCCGGAACAGGUGCAGUCAAAAAGCGACGGCUUGGAUCUAUACCAACAAUAUCUUGAAUAGGAUAGUGGAUCUGUCGAAGAUCUUACGGCGCUCACAAGAUACCUUUCUGUUCUAAUGGAAAUCCCGCGACAACCAUGAACUCAGAGCAGCAAACAGAACAUGACAAUUUGAUCAUUUUGGUAGUAUUUCGGUUAAAGCGUCGGAUUUAAGUUUAUGUUGUUUCUAAUGAGUUUACAUUCAGUUUUCAGAUAAGCGAUAUACUUUAAAUUUGCUGCUUUUACCUUCUGUAUGACUACAGUCUUCACGUUUGAAAAUUAAUUAUGGUGACUCAUGGAUGUUUCGAUAGGGUUUCCAGCUUGGUUUGUUUGUGUUGUUUAAAUUGAGGAUACGAAUGAGUUAGUUUAUGGACUGAGAACCUGUAGAUAAUGAACGACUGUGAUCUUGUUUUGAUUAUAGCAUUUGUUUCUUUCCUAUAAGUGUUUGUAUUAAAAUGUGAUUAGAUUACCGCUUGAAGCUUGUUUAGACAUUACAAGUGUGUUAUAUUGACUGUUAGAUGUAUUAGUUUUGUGGGAAGAUUUUUUGUGAAAUUAAAGUUUAUUUUCCCAUCAGUGUUAUCAAUAGAACAAAUGGAUAUUGGUUGAAAUGCUGAACAGUUCGUUUCUUUAUUCUGUACUAGCUGAAUUUGGUUUUGCAUUAGCUGCACCUUUUGAGGUCUCCUUGGACAUGAUUUAUUUCUAUUCUAUUCUAAUAAGAAGUCAAGUAGAU
rnacentral:lncRNA from 1 species